UACGUAGGUGGCAAGCGUUGUCCGGAAUUAUUGGGCGUAAAGCGCGCGCAGGUGGUUUGAUAAGUCAGAAGUAAAAGGCUGUGGCUCAACCAUAGUGCGCUUUUGAAACUGUCAAACUUGAGUGCAGAAGGGGGGAGUGGAAUUCCAUGUGUAGCGGUGAAAUGCGUAGAUAUAUGGAGGAACACCGGUGGCGAAGGCGGCCCCCUGGACAAAGACUGACGCUCAGGUGCGAAAGCGUGGGGAGCAAACAGG
rnacentral:rRNA from 1 species